GGCACAAGCUUUCUGUUAUUUUAUACUUUGACCCCAGAAGUUUUAUUAUUAUACAAAUUUAACCAGUUACUAACUCCCACUGUCUAGAAACUGGCGAGCGUUACGGCGACGAGACGUCGUCUGAAUCUGAUUACGCACCGAUUUGCAUAUACAUACAGACAAUACGUAUCGACAAGGAGAGAGCACGAGCAUAAAGACAGAGAAGGGUGAAAUGGGAGACCAGAAACUAAAAUGGACAUGGGAUGAAGAGGGUGCGUUGCUCGCCGGAAUUGCAAAGCACGGCGCCGGGAGGUGGAAGAACACCCUACGUGAUCCCGAGUUCUCUGAUCAGCUCAUCAAUCGCUCCAACAUCGACCUCAAGGUCUGAUCCUAUGUCAGUUGAACUGGAGCUUUGAGGUAGAAAGAACAGUUCUUUAACGGAUGAGUUACUAGUUCUCAGGUAUGAUGGGAUAAUAUUUGAAGCUCUCUCUGCUUUGGCGGAUGCAAAUGGAUCUGAUGUUGGUUCCAUUUUUCAGCUUCGUCGAGGUGAACUCUACAUGUAAGUCUUAGGCAGCAUCUUGGUCAGGACAUAUUACAUCCUUGUUCUGUUAAUUAAUCCAAGUGCCGCCAAAUUUCAGAAGAGUCCUUAGUUCAAGACUGCGUAGGCUUGCAGCUCAGGGAAAACUUUCAAAUGUUAGCAACUCAAAAUCUUUACUGAACUUCUAUAAGAUACCAGAUAGAUCAGAAACAACAACAAGAACAACACCUGCCCCAAAACUAAAAAGAGACAAAUAUAAAACCCCGGCAACCUCGGUUUCACAAGAGAUGAUCGAUGAAGCUGCAAUAACAGCUGCGUGUAAAAGUUGUAGAGACAGAAUCAAAUAUACGUUGCUAAAGUAGAAGUGGAAGAGUUGGAGAAGUUGACCGAACUUGCGGAAGAAACUGAUCUUCUGUAGGAGUUGGCUAAAGGGAUACAUGAACAAUGUAAAAACCAAGACUUAGCUCAUUAUCUCAUUCUUCAUACACAUUAGGAAACAAGCUAAAACAAAAUAUCCAUGGGGUUUUAUCCAUGAUGUACUUUCAAAUAACAUGAAAAAAAUAUAUAUCCACAAGAGUAUAUUUUAGUGAAGGUUUUAGUUGAUAAAAAAAAAUCCACAUGAGUGUAGA